CCCUCCUCUGUGUAACUACAUUUGAACAUAACCAGAGAACUGUAUAUAAUGACGAGAUGCUCAUGUCUCCGCCCGAACCAUUUUAGUUGUUGCCCCAAGGUCGGGAAGGCAAGGUGACAAGUUUAGGUCCACAAUGAAACGAUAGAAACUUAAUUGGGAUAAUUUUGGACAGAUUUCGGCGAUUCUUGGCACCGUUCCCACCGACCUUCCACUUGUCCUUGAGUGCCUUGAGCAGCUGUUUCAGCCUCCCUCUCCGUCUCCUCGUCAGAGAUUGAGCUGGGACAUGGAGAAGACCCAGGGGUCACUGUGGGGUCGGUAGAACAGGAUCUGGGGCGUGAUCUUUCCAAUGAAGCCUGGAGAGCACAAGUAUGGUGUACAGUAGAAUGAAGUACUAGAGUACCCAUAACACUCUAUGUCUGGUAUCCGGUUUAUCUUCAUAAAGAGGUUCCUGAAGCUACUGUAACAUAAUGGUGCCUCCUCUUCUUAUCAAACACACUAUCCUCAGAUCAAAUAACGUCACGUACUGUGUGAAAUGGAUAGUGCUGCUUCCGUGUGUCUAUUGUUUGUCUAAUGGUAUGUGAUUUGAAACUCAAUGUCACACCUCAAGUUCCACAAAGAACUGUAGACUGUUUUCAUACUGUGUUGCACUGACUAGACAUAGACUUAUCAUCCAGUUGGCCAUGUCUUAAUGAGUAUGUUGAAUAAUUUACUUCCUUUGCCAGACGAGAAAAUCCUGAUCGUUUGUUUACAUUCUUUUAGUAAACAAAAGGUCACGCAAGCGGGACUGAUCAGCAAGAACUCGAGAUAAAUGAAAUGAAAUGAACAACAAUCUGAUGGUGUGAAAAAAAACAGCAGUCGAGUUUCUUUUUCUUUUAUAGAUUUCCUGCCAAUCUUCUGCUCAAUUUCUAACAACUCAUUUUGCAUAUUGAGUUUGAAUAUUAUUAUUUGUAUAGUUCUUGUGAAUAUUUUCAAUGGUAACCUUGAUGGAUCACUUACCUGCUUUGAUCUAAAAGGGCAUAUCAAACUCUU